UUAGGGCAGGUCCAAUGGGGAUCCUUACCCAAAAAUCCUUAGAAAUUAAUCAAUAUAAUAUCGUGUGGACCCAUUAAACUUAAGGAUUUUUGUCAAAAUAAUCCUUAGAUAAGAAUCAGGUUUGUUACUGUACGCGGAUUCCACCGCCACGUGAAACCCCGCAAUUGGCUUUUUUUUUAACUAAAAAAAAUUAAAAUAAUUUUAAAAAUCUACCUAGGUUAUCGAGCUCAGAGGUACACCAUUGUACCUGCUUUUAGCCUUUUGACUUUCUUAAAGCUAGCUGUAGAGUUUUAAACCGGUUAGUUAGAUUGAAUUUAUAUCUUCUCGUGACUUUUCAGUUUGAUGUACGAACAACCACACGCAACAAGAGCAAUUUACAAAACCCUCUUUCAUUUAUUUAUUAAAAUGCAUAAUAAAAAAGACUUCUUUAAAAAAUGCUUUUAUUAAUAAAAUUUUUUUUUAAAAAACCAAACUGUUCUGUAUAAAAUGUUUUAGAAUAAUUUUUAUAUAAAUAGUUUUGUAUAAUGUGUCUGAAAUAUAAAACAUUAUUUUAAAACUUUUUUUUGUUUUCUUAAUGUCUUACAAUUUCAUAGGUCCUAGGGGUUGUAACCAGUAGCUUAUUCGUCUUUGUAUUUUCUACUCGAACUAAGUCUAAUAAGUCCUAAGAGUUUGGACAAUAAUGAAUGUCCAUUGUGGCCCCGUUGAAGAAAGGACGUGCUGUGCAUUUCGUUCUUCUCUAUUAUUUUUGGAGUUACCUUGAUGGUUAUGGAGCUUUGGUUCAUGAUGUCGCGUAGUACUGAUGUGCUCAAGGCACGUAGUUGUCCACUUGGGUGUGAUAGGUACCGUAUACAAAAUAAAUCUCUCGGAUUAAGCCAAAAUGAAGUCCACAAAGCCCAUCAUUACCCAGAAAAGCCCAAACCUUUACUCUCCUUCAUAAACCCUAGCAUUUAUUCUCGCCAUUGAUCCAUACUCUCUCGGAGUCUAACCACCGGAUUCAUCCUCUGACGGCAUAUUCUAUUAGCGUUAAUGCUCAGGAUGAUACGUAUGAGUAUAUGGUUGAGUGCUCUCAGACCAACAAGCUAGUAUCGAGAUCUGGGUAUUCUAGGAUUUUAGAGAUGUCCUCAAGCAAUGGUAAACAUAGGCCUCCAAUUUUUUUUCUUUCUAUUCACUCUUCUUCUUCGUGAUAUAUACAUCAGUGCAGGGGUUAGUGAGAUGCCAUACCUCUAUAGCAUGCCCUAAGUUCUACUCCACACUAAAUGUACAUGAUAGAAGAAAAAAAGGAGCUGGCCUUACGCUGAUAUACAUACUCCACAAGAUCACUCAUUACUGCGGCAGUAUGGCAUCUUCAAACCUGCAUGAUCCAUGUUCAUUUAAUCCACAUGCUAGCCUUUUGAAUUUCUUUAAGCUAGGUGUAGAGUUUUAAACCUGUUAAUUAAAUUAAUUUUAUAACUUCUCGUGAAUUUUCAGUUUGAUGUAUGAUGACUAUGAUGCUGAUAUAGUACGAAUCAACCAUACGCAACAAGAACAAUUUACAAAAACUUUAUUUGAGAAUAUAAACUUCCACUUGGAGUUUAACUGAGAUAUAAAAGUAAUAUAUAAACAGGUCUAGUCUGGAUCGAUCUUAAACCGAUCUGACCCCAAUGGUCCGGUCAGACUUGAAUCCUAAUCUGGGAAAUUGUCGACAUUCUCGUGAGAGCCUAUCAGCUGUGAGGAAGUUGGCUAGAUCAGAAGCAUCCAAGAGGAAAAUGUUUGAUACACUUCUCUGAGGAUCUAGUUCCUGACUUUUCAUCUGAAUGUAUAGCAUACUAAUUACGUUGCCUCUUGGAGUCAUUUCAUUACAUGACGUGGACGUUACUGCUGUACCAAAGCAUGUGGUGGUUGUACAUGUUGUUUCCAGUUAAGAAUGGUUAGAUAAUCCUUCUGAAAUGGUGCAUGCCCCGGUUACAUGUCUCAACCAAGGCCUUUGAACGUCUGAACAAUUCAGAGACAUGAGCUGUGACUAUCU